AACGAACGCUGGCGGCAUGCCUAACACAUGCAAGUCGAACGAUGCUUUCGGGCAUAGUGGCGCACGGGUGCGUAACGCGUGGGAAUCUGCCCUUGGGUUCGGAAUAACAGUUGGAAACGACUGCUAAUACCGGAUGAAGACGAAAGUCCAAAGAUUUAUCGCCUGAGGAUGAGCCCGCGUAAGAUUAGGUAGUUGGUGGGGUAAAGGCCUACCAAGCCGCCGAUCUUUAGCUGGUCUGAGAGGAUGAUCAGCCACACUGGGACUGAGACACGGCCCAGACUCCUACGGGAGGCAGCAGUGGGGAAUAUUGGACAAUGGGCGAAAGCCUGAUCCAGCAAUGCCGCGUGAGUGAUGAAGGCCUUAGGGUUGUAAAGCUCUUUUACCCGGGAUGAUAAUGACAGUACCGGGAGGAUAAGCCCCGGCUAACUCCGUGCCAGCCGCCGCAGUAA
rnacentral:rRNA from 1 species